rnacentral:lncRNA from 1 species
GGUCGGCCGCCGGAGGCCGCGCCCUCCGCACCCUUGGUGCCGGGGUGCGAACGCUGUCCGAGGGCUGGAGCCCCACGGGGAAGUAGAACGCGAAGGCAGGGACUCUGCUCUAGAAGCGGAAACCUUCCUUUUGUUUCUUUGAUACAGGCUCUCCCUUUGUGGUUCAAGCUGACCUUAAACUCCCAGAGAUCCUCCUGCCUCAGCCUGGUCAAGGCAGGGAUCACAGGCGUCCGCGCCGCAGCACCCGCUGUAGAAAUCACUUUUUUAAAAUCACAAAAUAGGGCCGGGGAUGUAGCUCAGUGGCACAGUGCCUGCCUGGCAAGGGCAAGGCCCUGAGUUCGAUUCCCAGCACCGAAAAACAAUCACAAAACAAGGGCCAUGGGCGGGGCACUUGCCUAACAUGUACAAGGUUGGGUUUGGUCUCCAGUUUCAAAAAGAAGUGAUCGACAAUAAGGAUGCCAAAACAAUUAUUCAUUCUAGAAAAGCUAGAUGUUUUUCAAAAUCAGGAAUCGAAAAUUGAAAUCCCACCACCCGAAUCGCCAGUUAACCCCUGGAUGUGCGGUGUUACGAGCGGUCGCCCGGACGCAGCGCUUGGUAACCUGGUGGCCGGAGGCAGCGAGCUGUGGCGCUGUGUUUCCAUCCCUGACGCUAGGCCCGCGGGAGGACCUGACCCGAGGCGCCGCCUCGCAGCUGUGUCCCGGCGCGCUGUCAGUCGUCAUCCCCAGGAGGGCUCGCAGGAAGGUGGCCAGCCGCUGAAGGACCGGGGCUUCCUGGAGUCCCCGGGCCCGCGGCCAGCAAGGCUUGGGGGAGGCCAGAGGGCUGCCCUGCCCGCGCACGCGACCCGGAGGAGCCGCUGAGAGUAAAGCUGCAGCGUGGUGGAGGCGGGGACCCGCAAAGGGCUCAGCUGAAAGGACAGGCCCCGCAGCGUGACCGUGCCCCGCGGCCCUGGGGCACUUCAUGGUCCCCGAAGUCAUUCCUGGGGAGCAGAAACAAAGGACAGGAAGUUUUGAAAUGGGAAUACCCAAGAGUGUUCAAAAGGAAACUGCAGAGAAUCGGUCCGAUUCCCUGGUGGUGACCACCGCGCUGUGUAUAACUCGUACUAAGCUCACCAGACCCCGUGCCCGACCGGUGGCAGGCACUCUAGAGGCCCACCACGAGUGGAACACGAGCCGUGUGGUACGGCCGCCCUCUGUCUGCAGGACCUGCACCCACAGACUCAACCGACCAUGGGGAAGAUACUCGGGAGCCCUCUCCGGGCCUUCCUCCCUCCGCAGGACUCCUCCCAGGUUUGGUACUCAGUCACCAGUCACCAGGGGAGAGUGCGUCCAGUGGGAGGAGCUCCAGUGCCACGCUGUGCCCUCAGUGAGGGGAUGCCCUCGGUCACCGCAGCGGCAGAGCCCGGCUGGGAGCAGCCCUGGAAGCGAGGGCCGCUGCACGAGCUGCAGGAUUAGUGUGGCCUGCAGGGGACACAUGAAGGCUAUGCACCUAAAAAUAAACCUCAUCUUUUUUA